CACAAGCAGCGGAGCGUGUGGUUUAAUUCGAUGUUACACGAAGAACCUUACCAGGGUUUGACAUGCAAGUGGUAGGAAGCCGAAAGGUGACCGACCCUUCGGGGAGCCUAUACAGGUGUUGCAUGGCUGUCGUCAGCUCGUGUCGUGAGAUGUUCGGUUAAGUCCGCUAACGAGCGCAACCCUCGUCGUAUGUUAUAUGUGUCAUACGAGACUGCCGGUAAAAAGCCGGAGGAAGGUGAGGAUGAUGUCAAGUCAGCAUGACCUUUAUAUCCAGGGCUACACACACGCUACAAUGGUCUGUACAAUGGGUAGCCAAGCCGCGAGGCGGAGCCAAUCCUGAAAGCAGGCCUCAGUUCAGAUUGCAGUCUGCAACUCGACUGCAUGAAGCCGGAGUUGCUAGUAACCGCAGGUCAGCAAUACUGCGGUGAAUACGUUCCCGGGUCUU
rnacentral:rRNA from 1 species